rnacentral:rRNA from 1 species
AGAGUUUGAUCAUGGCUCAGAAUGAACGUUGGCGGCGUGGAUUAGGCAUGCAAGUCGUACGGGCCGCAAGGCCAGUGGCGCAAGGGUGAGUAAGGCGACGGUAACCAACCCCAUGACUGGGUAUAGCCGCGGGAAACUGCGGGUAAUCCCCAGCGACGUCCCGGGGGGGCAUCCCCCGGGGACCAAAGCCCCGGCGUCGUGGGACGGGCUGUCGUGGUAUUAGCUUGUUGGCGGGGUAACGGCCCACCAAGGCUCUGAUGCCUACCGGGCGUGCGAGCGUGGCCCGGCACACUGGGACUGAGACACUGCCCAGACUCCUACGGGAGGCUGCAGUCGAGAAUCUUCGGCAAUGGGCGCAAGCCUGACCGAGCGACGCCGCGUGGAGGACGAAGGCCUUCGGGUUGUAAACUCCUGUCGAGGGGGAAGAAGGGGUAACACCUUGACUGAUCCCUGGAGGAAGCACGGGCUAAGUUCGUGCCAGCAGCCGCGGUAAUAC